AUUCCCCCACCGUAGCUGUGUCUUCUCCUUGUCUUUGAAGUGUGGAAGGGAGAAGCAAGGAGCUCUCCUGAACUGGCCGUGAGGUUCUCCAGGUGCCAAAUUUCUUCUUUCAUUUCCUUUCGUUUGGAUGCUUAGAAAAUGCGGAAGAUUAGCCACGAAAAAAAAUUCACACAAAAAAUUGGUAACUGGGUGUUUAAGAGUAAGGCCUUUUAAUUAAUGAAUGAAACAUAAAAACUCGAAUUUCAAUCCUAAAAGCCCAGUGAAGGUUUGUUAGGUUCAUGUUUUGACUUAACUUCUCUGCUUCCAGAGUUCUGUUAAGUUUAGACAAUGGUGGGCUCUUUGCCUCCAGCUUUUCCUUAUUGUGAGAAGCCAAUUUAUUGAGUAGACUUAGAACUAGGAGAGUGGUGGAGGAUUGAGAAAUUUCAAUGCUGUGGAUGAAAUUCUUGCUUUGGUCAUAGUGUUUAUAGGAACUGGAAGAUUUGCACUUGCUAUUGGAAUUGGAAUCGCGCGUUACGUGAUAGUUUUUAAUAUGCAGAAGUAUGGUCUGCAGACUGCGGGAUGUAAUUGAGGCAAGGAUCAUGGUUCAAACCAUUAAAGGAUGUGGCAGGAAAACUUGCAGGUAUUGUAAGUAAUCCACCGUACAUACAGAGUGACAAUAUCUCUGGGCUACAAGCUGAGGUUGGUAGACAUGAACCAAGACUUGCAUUAGAUGGUGGUCUUAAUGGCAUGGGUGUUCUUCUCCAUCUUUGCAAUGGGGCUGCUUUGAUGUUAAAACCUGCUGGAUUUUUCAUUUUUGAGGUAUGGAUCUUUUAAUACCACUGAACAUUAAAAAUCUGCUUUGUUGCUUGCUCGUAUACAUGAACAUUAAAAAUCACUGUUCAAUAUAUUCUUUUGUCCCACAUUCUCUCACGUCUUAAGAAUGAGUGCCACAAGAGGUCAAACUCUAAGCAUACAUGUCUAUUAGAUACAGUAUCUGUCUGCCAACUUGUCAAGUAGCUAAUGGAUGCUGAUGAUUGUUGAUGAUGUAAAUUGGGUUAGACUUGGGAAAAGAAUCUUCCAAUGGCAUUAUUAUUGGCACCCAGUUGGAAUACUUCUACUUAAAUUUGGAAACAUAUAGGACUAUAUAUGACGCAGCAAUUAGCUAUGAGGCUAAGGUGGAUUCAGUCCUAAAAAAUAGAACUUUGGUUUGGAUGCCUGCUAGAUCUGAGGAUUGUUCAUAAUUUAAAGCCAAUUAAGCCUCAUAGAUCUAAAGGAAGAGGAUAAGGCUAAGUGGACCGUCACUAAGUCAGGUUGCAUCUCUUGUGCAGCCACAUUUGAGGCAUUAAGAGAUAAAGGCUGAAGUGGUGGACUGGUGGAAGCUCAUGUGGUUCAACCUUACCAUACCAAAGCAUGCUCUCAUUGGCUGAUUGGUGAUCAAGAAUAAAUUAACCACUAGAGAGUGACAUUCUGUGUGCUAUGCAGGGGUUGUGUUGAAAGCAGGAGCCAUCUUUCUGGACACAUGUUUAUGGGGAUGGGCUGUUAGGAUCCUCUAAGGGAAGGGACCUAGAGCAUCCAUAUGUAAGAUUGGAUGGUAGGUGCCUAUAUAUUAUAUUUGGUGCCAGAGGAAUGCUAAUAUCCACUAUGGCCCAAUCUUGACUAAGGAGAAAAUCCUCAAAAAUAAAGAAAGAUGUUAGAGGCAGGCUUGAGUUCAAAGCAAAAUUCCCUAAUUCCACUCUAAACAAGAUUCUUUGCUGACAUUGGGGCUUAAACAAAUCUAUUUUGAUCUCCAUAGCUCAAUGAUCUGUAAUUGCUACAGUAAAUUGUUGAAUUUUUUUGGAAUUUGAGUUAUAAUGGAGCUGCUUGUUGGAUAAAUGGAAAACGGCAAAGAUUCUGAUUGUGUUUGUUGUAGUAGGAUGCAGUACUUACUAAGGCUGAUUGUAUUGCAUUAUAUUUAUUGGCUUUGCUUGGGUUGUGAGUUUCAUUUGAGCUGUUUACUGAAGUCAGCGGCUUGCUUUUUCCUUGCAAGUAAAUACAGCUAGAGGUGCAAAAAAUGACUCUGGAUUCUGCAGAUUGUUGCUGCUAUAUAUUUCCAAUUAGCUGCUAAGGCUAUUGCUAUGUGCUAGACUGUUUGCUGUGUGCUUGGAAGGUUGAUUGCUCAAAUAAGUGUUCCCCUGUUCAUAGUUCACAGGAGUUUGUUAACUCUGUAUUUUUGGUUUGUUUUGUUGGUCGAGUGGGCUUCUUUUAGGCUUAGUAAUUUUGAUAGCUGAAUGACCUUUUGUUCUUUAAAUAGAUUGUAUUCUUUGUUUCUUUUUCAAUAAAAUAUACAUUCGAAC